CAGUCGCCGCGGUAAUACGAAGGGUGCAAGCGUUACUCGGAAUUACUGGGCGUAAAGCGUGCGUAGGUGGUGGUUUAAGUCCGUUGUGAAAGCCCUGGGCUCAACCUGGGAAUUGCAGUGGAUACUGGGUCACUAGAGUGUGGUAGAGGAUAGUGGAAUUUCCGGUGUAGCAGUGAAAUGCGUAGAGAUCGGAAGGAACAUCUGUGGCGAAGGCGACUGUCUGGGCCAACACUGACACUGAGGCACGAAAGCGUGGGGAGCAAACAGGAUUAGAUACCCCCGUAGUCCCUGUCUCUUAUAC
rnacentral:rRNA from 1 species